rnacentral:rRNA from 1 species
UACAGAGGUCCCAAGCGUUGUUCGGAUUCACUGGGCGUAAAGGGUGCGUAGGCGGUCGGGUAAGUCUGAUGUGAAAUCUCACAGCUUAACUGUGAAACUGCAUUGGAUACUAUCCGGCUAGAGGAAUGGAGGGGAGACUGGAAUUCCUGGUGUAGCGGUGAAAUGCGCAGAUAUCAGGAGGAACACCGGUGGCGAAGGCGGGUCUCUGGGCCGAUAUUGACGCUGAGGCGCGAAAGCGUGGGGAGCAAACAGG